UACAGAGGUCUCAACCGUUGUUCGGAUUCAUUGGGCGUAAAGCGCGCGUAGGCGGUUACUCAAGUCGGAUGUGAAAGCCCUCGGCUUAACUGAGGAAGUGCACCCGAAACUGAGUAGCUAGAGUACUAAAGAGGGUCGCGGAAUUCCCGGUGUAGAGGUGAAAUUCGUAGAUAUCGGGAGGAACACCGGUGGCGAAGGCGGCGACCUGGGUAGAUACUGACGCUGAGGCGGCGAAAAGCGUGGGGGAGCAAACAGG
rnacentral:rRNA from 1 species